rnacentral:rRNA from 1 species
GACGAACGCUGGCGGCGUGCCUAAUACAUGCAAGUAGAACGCAGUGGCGAACGGGUGAGUAACGCGUAGGUAACUGCCUCUUAGCGGGGGAUAACUAUUGGAAACGAUAGCUAAUACCGCAUACUUUGAGAUGGACCUGCGUUGUAUUUGCUAGGUGGUGAGGUAAAGGCCCACCAAGGCGAAGAGACAUAGCCGACCUGGGAGGGUGAUCGGGCACAACGGGAAUGGGACACCGGUCCGACUCCCUAGGGAGGCAGCAGUAGGGAAUUUUUGGCAAAGGACGGAAGUCCGAACGAGCAAAGCCGGCUUAGGGAAGAAGGUUUUCGGAUCGUAAAGCUCCGUUGUUAGAGAAGCGGUACCUAACCAGAAAGCGACGGCUAACUACGUGCCAGCAGCCGCGGUAAUUC